rnacentral:rRNA from 1 species
GAUGAACGCUGGCGGCGUGCUUAACACAUGCAAGUCGAGCGAGAGAGUUCUUCGGAACAAUCUAGCGGCGGACGGGUGAGUAACACGUGGGCAACUUGCCUCAUAGUGGGGGAUAGCCUCUCGAAAGGGAGAUUAAUACCGCAUAACAUCAUUGGGUGGCAUCACUUGAUGAUUAAAGGAGCAAUCCGCUAUGAGAUGGGCCCGCGGCGCAUUAGCUAGUUGGUGGGGUAAUGGCCUACCAAGGCGACGAUGCGUAGCCGACCUGAGAGGGUGAUCGGCCACAUUGGGACUGAGACACGGCCCAGACUCCUACGGGAGGCAGCAGUGGGGAAUAUUGCACAAUGGGGGAAACCCUGAUGCAGCAACGCCGCGUGAGUGAUGAAGGUCUUCGGAUUGUAAAGCUCUGUCUUUGGGGACGAUAAUGACGGUACCCAAGGAGGAAGCCACGGCUAACUACGUGCCAGCAGCCGCGGUAAUACGUAGGUGGCAAGCGUUAUCCGGAUUUACUGGGCGUAAAGGGAGCGUAGGCGGAUACUUAAGUGGGAUGUGAAAUACCCGGGCUUAACCUGGGUGCUGCAUUCCAAACUGAGUAUCUAGAG